rnacentral:lncRNA from 1 species
AGUCACGUGGCUGCGCGGCGCGCUUCCCGCGGAGCCCCCGCCUCUCCUGCUUCUUCAGCCCCGCCCUGCUGAGUUGCCUACGCUGAGGAGCCGCCGCCUGCAGGUCUAAGGAGAGUUGCUUCCUAAGGCAGCUUGGGCAGAAAUCUGAAGAGGGUAGGUAGGAGUAGAAAUUGUAAAAGAAAAAGAUAGCCUAAACCACCGCGACCUUUCAGACUAGAGAAACUGAGGCCAGGAGAGGCGCGAGGGUAACUUUAAUGAUAAAAUCCGCCUUUCAGUUAUUGGCUUCAUCUCUUAAUAAUUUGGAAAUAUCUCCCAUGUAUAUCUUUUCAUAUAAGCAGAGACUUGCUGAAGGAGCUGGCAUUUGGGGUGAACAUGGAAAGAUCGGAAGGAUUUGGACAGAUUCAUCCAUCCAUGAAGGAAUUCUCUCAUCUGCUUCAGUGUGCUUCUUUCUCAGCCCCACCUUGGUACAUGGUGUUUCCUCUGCCUGAAUAGGCCUCCUCCCUUUGUGUGCCUGGAAGGUUAGCCCCGAGCUAACAUCUGCUGUCAAUCUUCCUCUUUUUGCUGAGGAAGACUGGCCCUGAGCUAACAUCCGUGCCCAUCUUCCUCUGCUAUAUAUGUGGGAUGCCCAACACAGUAUGGCUUGCCAAGCAGUGCCAUGUCUGC